rnacentral:lncRNA from 1 species
AAUUAAGAGUCGUGUGUGUGUGUGUGUGUGUGUGUGUGUGUGUUUCAGCAUGCAGAUGCUCUAUCCUCUAUGCGUCUGGAGCUGCAGCGUGCUCACACUGAGGAGAUCAGGCGCCUUCAGCAGGAGGUGGAGAACGAAAGAAAGAAUGACAGACAGGAGCUGGAAGAAGAGAAGAAACAGGUGCAGCAGAAGAUGGAAGAAGAGAAAGUGAUGCUGAAAGAACAGCUUCGGAAAGCACUGGAAGAAGUGAUACGCAAACACGCCAGUGAGCUACGGCAUGCACACGCAAUGCUGGACGCAGAGAAGAAGACGACGCAACAGGUUGAGGAGCAGAUGAAAACCAGAGAAGAAGAGAGAAAGGCUUUAGAGACAGAGAGGGAAGAGCUACGCAACCAACUACAGCUGUCCAACAGAGAGAUGGCGAAAUUGGAGGAGGUUAUUGAGACGCUGGAGAGAGAACGAGACGAGGAGAAGGAAAGGGCAAAAGAGAGAGAGCAGGAGUGCGCAGAGGUGAAGCGGCAGACAGCAUGUGGCCCGGAGUGUGUUCGAGUGAGAGAAGAACUGGAAAACACACACAGCAGCAUGCAGCAAAUACAGGAGGAGUUUGCUGCAAAGAAGGAAGUGUUACAGGCAGAGAUUUCUGCUCUACAGCGAGAGAGAGACAUUCUACAACAGUCCAAUCACAGUGUAGAGGAGAGGAUCAGGCUACAGUUUGAGAAGCAGUUCUCUGAUCAGAUCAUGGAACUGAAGAGAGAAAGAGAAGAAGAGAUCAGAAAGAUGAACCAACAGUGGCAACACAGAGUAGAAGAACUGCAGACACAGGUAACACACACACACACACACUGUCAGUCUCCUCAGACCCAUCAUACACACACGUCACUCUAGCAGCGGUAUUCUUCGGUCUCUGUGUGUAGUUGGAGGAGAGGAGAGCACUCUCAGAGAAGAUGGAAGGAGAGAGACGUUAUGGUAAUGGAGAGAUAAAGCAAAUGAAGCAGGAGAUCCAGAAGACGAGAGAUACGAACAGCUCGCUCAGAUCUCAGCUUCACUCCACCAUUCAGGAGAAAGAGAGACUGAUGAGGCAGCAGCUACAGGUGCGUAUACACUCGGAGACGGAUAGAGUUCUUAUGAUUAAUAUAAUUACAUUGCUU